CAUGAAGCAUCACAGCUGUCGAAUUGCCCCCGGCCACACUACGGGACAGUUCAGAUUAGACAAUGAAAAAGAAUCGCAUGUCCAGUCUACAGGAUGGAGAAAUUUGCCAGCAAGUGAGCACUUGUUUAUGGAAGGCAGUGCCCUCUUGGAUCAGACAAACCUGUUCUUUGUUCACAAGUGCCAAGACCCACGCGUGCAGGACAAAUGAAGUCGAGGGAGGUUCUGGCAGCCGGAUGAGGCGGGCAGGCGCACUGCAGGAGAGCUUCCAUAACGUUCCAUAAAAGCAAACCCCAGCCAAAUGGCUCUGACGACAAGAUUAACUACACAAACCAGGUUUGCUACAUUUUAGCUUUAAAACACUCCUUUGAAGUAAGUAGAUCAGGAAUUAUGGCAGUUAUGCUGAUGAGGAAACUGAGGCCCAAUGAAAUUCUAUGACUACCCAGAAAUCCAUGGAAAACUAGCAUCAGACCCCAAGCUGGCCCCACGGAGCCACACAAGGACCCUCCCAGCUUCUCUCCUUACGGGCGGCUUAACCGUUCUGUUGCCUCUGUGACCAGCGCGAUGCUUCUCGAAUGUCAGGAGGGAUUUCUUUUCUCCAUGAUUGCAAUGACUGUCACGCCUCCUUAAUUCACAGAUUCUCUACUCGCAAAUUUGCCUACCCGCUAAAAUUUAUUGUAACCCCCAAAUCAAUAUUCCAUGCUUGUGCUACUUGUGGACGUGCAGAGAGCGGCAAAAAAUUUGAGUCGCCCUUUGCACACAUUCCCAACUGAGGUCAAACCAGGUGUCGCUUUACCUUCUUGUUUCAGCUGUCAGACUGGAAACUCGUGUCCUUUUAAUGGUCUAUGUAGUGCCUCAUCUUUUGCAUUUUUGUUGGCGAUUUUGCUGUUUAAAAUGGCCCCCAGGUGUAGUGCUGAAGAGCUAUCUAGUGUUCCGAAGCACAGAGAAGAUAGAUGUUAAGUAUGCUUUCUUCAGGCAUGGGUUAAAGUGCUGUUGGCUGUGAGUUCAUACUGCUGGACUGAUGAAAAUGUUAUCAGUGGGCCAGCCCUGGUGGCUAGUGGUCAAGUUCCACACACUCUGCUUCAGUGGCUGGGGCCCAGUUCCAGGCGUGGAGCUAUACCGCUUGUCUGUCAGUGGCCGUGCUGUGUUGGCAGCUUACAUACAAAAAGAGGAAGACUGGCAGUGGAUGCUAGCUCAGGACGAAUCUUCCUCAGCAAAAAAAAAAAAAAGAAGAAGAAGAAGAAGAAGAAAAAAAGAAAAAUUUCUUCCCAGAGACUCCUAGGAACAUAACCAUGUAUUACUCAUAGGAGCAAAUACAAUAUCACCUAAUUCAAAGUUUGUAGUGAACAUAGCUACCACGAAUAAGUAGACUCGACUGUAUCAUUAUUGUGGCUGUUGUUGUUAUUGCCUGAUAAUAAGUGGUGUGGCCUCUGGGAGAAUUCCAGCUUACUUUUUAGACUUAUACAGCAAGAUCUGACUUUAGAUUACACUUCUUCCUGCCGCGGAUGCUGGGGAGCUGCCAUAGCACCCCUGGCACCCUCGAGGGCACUGCUAGCAAUUAGUCGCCAUUCCAAACCCUCACACCUGUUAACUGAAGCUCGGCUGUCUCACGUCUGGUUCUCUGGGAACCAGAGAGAGUCUGUUUACAAGUUAGGGCAGGCUUGCUCCUGGUUUUGCUUUGAGAGUAUUAAUGUCAAUGUCCUGGGGGCCUGGUCAUCAAUCCUACUGUUAUCAUUGCUCUUUCGGGAGAUCCAGGGUCACUACACAAGGAGAACCCUGCUGUCCUCCUUUGACACGCUAGAGUCCCUUAGGCAGACAUACAGACUAGACCUCAAUGCCUAACAGUGUUCUUUGAGAGACAGAUGACUCGCUGCUAAGGAAAAAUACAGGUAACUCAUACGCAAGUCUUAAAUUUCAGUACAUUGAGAGCAAAUAAAUCAGAACAUAUAUGGCUUUGCUAACCCUUUAAAGAAACCUUGGUUUCAAGUGGAAAAACUCACUCAAUAAAAUGUCUAAUGAAAGGAGGAGAA